rnacentral:rRNA from 1 species
AUAGGACGUCUUACCUGCCCAGUGACAAGUUAAACGGCCGCGGUAUUUUGACCGUGCGAAGGUAGCGCAAUCACUUGUCUUUUAAAUGAAGACCUGUAUGAAUGGUGGAACGAGGGCUUAACUGUCUCCCCCUUCAAAUCAAUGAAAUUGAUCUACCCGUGCAGAAGCGGGUAUACUAAUAUAAGACGAGAAGACCCUUUGGAGCUUAAGAUGUUAGAUCAACUAUGUCAAGAAUUAUAAAACAUUAAACUAAGUAGCAACUGAUCCCUAUCUUCGGUUGGGGCGACCACGGGAAAAAAUAAAACUCCCAUGCGGACUGGGGCAACCCCUAAAACUAUGAAAGACAUUUCUAAGUCACAGAAUAUCUGACCACUAAGAUCCGGCAAACUGCCGAUUAACGAACCAAGUUACCCUAGGGAUAACAGCGCAAUCCCCUUUCAGAGUCCAUAAUCGACAAGGGGGUUUACGACCUCGAUGUUGGAUCAAGACAUCCUAAUGGUGCAGCCCGCUUUAAGGGUUCGUUUGUUCAAAG